ensembl:snoRNA
UAUUGUGGUGGUUUCUGUAUUUGGCAGAUCUGUAACUGUAUCAGAGCGGCCUUAAACUACCACAAAGAUCAGAAAGGAGGACGAGUGUUCUGAGAACUCUUUCAGGCUUUUAGUUUUCAGUUUUUUGUUCAACUCCUACAGAA